rnacentral:misc_RNA from 1 species
GGUUAUUUGUGGUCCUACUUCAUUUAUAUCUUCUUGUUUUUUAUUUGUGGCUGACUUGGUUGAAGCUUCAAUUCCUAUAUUUGGGUCUUUUUGUGUUGACAACAUUUUGUUGUUAAUUCCUAGUGUUUAGUUUACUUGACUCUAGAAGGUUUAUUGUUAUGACUAUUGAUACUAAGGUUUGGGUAACCCGUGGCUAUUUUAGUCACUGUUUUGUUGGCUAUAUUUCUGUUGGUUACUGUGUUUUUUGUAUUUGGGCUUUGCGAUCCUUGCCUAUUUGCUUUCAAUUUCUGCUUUUGGACUUGCCUCAUUUGA